UACAGAGGGUGCGAGCGUUAAUCGGAAUUACUGGGCGUAAAGGGCGCGUAGGCGGUUUAUCAAGUGAGAUGUGAAAUCCCCGGGCUUAACCUGGGAACUGCAUUUGUGACUGCAUGGCUGGAGUGCGGCAGAGGGGGAUGGAAUUCCGCGUGUAGCAGUGAAAUGCGUAGAUAUGCGGAGGAACACCGAUGGCGAAGGCAAUCCCCUGGGCCUGCACUGACGCUCAUGCACGAAAGCGUGGGGAGCAAACAGG
rnacentral:rRNA from 1 species